ACAAACCCCCUCGGCUCCUCCUGGGCACAGCCCUUUCCUUCCCCACCGGGAAGUUUUGGAGGAGCACAGGAAUUUUACAGCGUUUCUCAGGGCUCCUGAGGGCUCCCAGCCCUGGACACAGCAGUGCCAGGUGCUCCCUGGGAGUGGGAGCACAAACCCACGUGUGCCCACAUUCACAUCCCACCCAGACCACCAGGGACAUCGAGGCACAGGCUCAGGGCUCCCUGGGCUGCCCUGGCUGUUUGAGGACUCAGAUCCUCCUUCAAUGCUGAUUCCUGCAGGAUAAAGCUGACUGGAAUUGCAAUUGGAGCUGCAGCCACACUACUACUUGAAGUAGUUGUUCUUUCUGUCAUGUAUGGGAUGAGACUAUCUAAUUAUCAGGUACUUACCGUAACAACUUCAGCCACACGUGCCUCAGUACAGGUUUCGCAAGAGGGACAAAGUGAUGUUCUACGGGAGGAAGAUCAUGAGGAAG